rnacentral:rRNA from 1 species
UACGAAGGGGGCGAGCGUUGUUCGGAUUUACUGGGCGUAAAGGGCGCGCAGGCGGCUCAUUUUGUCAGGCGUGAAAGCCCCGGGCUUAACCUGGGACUGCGUUUGAUACGGAUGGGCUAGAGUUCGGGAGAGGAGACUGGAAUUCCUGGUGUAGCGGUGAAAUGCGCAGAUAUCAGGAGGAACACCGAUGGCGAAGGCAGGUCUCUGGGCAUUAACUGACGCUGAGGAGCGAAAGCAUGGGGAGCGAACAGG